CAAGGCCCUGAUCGAGUCGAUUUAGUCUGUUGUGAUUGAAUCGGUCAACAAAGCGCCUACAGUGAAACUUCUACCGACGGUCGCUGCUCAGCUUCUGUACCCGUUGGAUGAUCAGCAACAAAUAUGGGGAAGGACACCG